rnacentral:lncRNA from 1 species
UCAAAAUUUGGGCACCUCAGUUGUGUCUUUAAGGACCUAAGCGGCUAUUGAAACUCCUCAUAUGACCUGUUACUACAGGCUUUUGUAUAUACAGUUCUAUUGCCAAAACAUGAGGUUGGCAGAAGUGAGUCAUAACUGCGAAGAUCUCAGCUUUGCUCUUUGAUUUACUUUUAUCCACCAAAAAUUAAAAUAUUUCCAAGAAUACGGGUAGGUAUGUGCUGUUCUCCUGUUAGGGCAGAGCUCUCACUUGGCUCUUCAGUGUAUUUACAUAGCUCAUAGGUUAUAUCUUUUUAAGCUUUAAUAUAAAAGGAGCUGUGUGCACAUUUUAUCUAAUCUUCAAUGCAUUAGGCAUGAGCAGUUCCUGGAGAAGGGAUCACAACGUAGAGCUCUGCCCCUUCUCCUGGGAGUCUGUCUCAUGGAGUGAUACUUGCCCUGCAGUGCUUUCUCUUUAUGGCUUUGUGAAUUCUAAAUUCCUCCCUAUGCUGGCAGAGCUCCAGGGGGAGGACAGAGAGGGCGGCCUCAGCCCCAGCUCUGCCUGAAGUCUGCUCUGUAGGAAGUGGGAUCUGCAGAGGGAAUAGUGCCCAGCUUCCCAGGAGAGGUCUCACCUUGGGCUAAUUCUGCAAGGCAACAGUAUUAUCUUUUUUGGACAGGUCUCUGGAUGACCGUGACCAGGACAGCUGCAUGCCCUGCAGUCACUGUUGCAGUGUGACUUAAGGGUACAGAACACACUGAACUGCUGUGCAGACUUCACGUGGGAUUUAAGGGCUAGCUUCUGCCGUGGUCAGCACUGAUGACCAUGUGGCUUUGGGUUGAGCUGGGUCAAUUGCUGAUCUCACUGAAAAUUAGAUUUUUCUUCCUUUCUGGGGGGGAAGAUAAGGAUUUGACUGUCCAAGCUGAUGCAAUUCAUUGCAAAGCUGCAUGGCUGCUCAUGCUCAUGAGGAAGUAGCAGGAACUCGUGAUCAGAAGCACAGGAGAAAGUGGGACUGUCCCUUCCAUGAGACCUGCAUUAAGUGGAGUUUGUUAUGAUCAGGAGACCCCACCUCCCAUGUUGACCUCAAGCAAGAGCUAAGCACUGACCUCAUCAGUUACAGGUGCUUUUAGGGGGCCUUGAUCUCCAAAUCAAGCAGGGGAGCUAUACACAACUCUAAUUACUGCCAUUCGCAUCAGGCUCUCUGAUGGCAAUGUAGCUCUCAGCGCUGAAUGAACGUGGUGUGACAUAGCAGCAGUAUGCAGAUGCGAGGGCAUCCUUUCGACUGAAGACUUUGAUUAUCAGAUUAUUAUCAGACGACUGAGCUGAUACUGAAGUUGGCCAGCCGUCUGCUAAGCACUCCUGCGGAACUACAGAGUCAUAGAUGUUAAGAGAUGGAAAGUGCAUUAGAUCACCCAG